CACUAGUGAUUCUCCUGGAAACGGGUGGUAAUGCCGGAUGCUCCAGUCCAUCGCAUGGUGGUCUGGGAAAGAUUUCAUCGGUAUGGGAUGGGGUCGCGUCCUAUCAGGUAGUCGGCGGGGUAACGGCCCACCGAGCCUACGACGGGUAGCCGGCCUGAGAGGGCGACCGGCCACAUUGGGACUGAGAUACGGCCCAGACUCCUACGGGAGGCAGCAGUGGGGAAUAUUGCACAAUGGGCGCAAGCCUGAUGCAGCGACGCCGCGUGCGGGAUGACGGCCUUCAGGUUGUAAACCGCUUUUGACCGGGAGCAAGCCUUCGGGUGAGUGUACCUUUCGAAUAAGCACCGGCUAACUACGUGCCAGCAGCCGCGGUAAUACGUAGGGUGCAAGCGUUAUCCGGAAUUAUUGGGCGUAAAGGGCUCGUACGCGGUUCGUCGCGUCCGGUGUGAAAGUCCAUCGCUUAACGGUGGAUCCGCGCCGGGUACGGGCGGGCUUGAGUGCGGUAGGGGAGACUGGAACUCCCGGUGUAACGGUGGAAUGUGUAGAU
rnacentral:rRNA from 1 species